GGGGCCGUAGCUCAGUUGGGAGAGCGCUUGCAUGGCAUGCAAGAGGUCGUCGGUUCGAGCCCGAUCGGCUCCA
rnacentral:tRNA from 3 species